UUAGAGAAGAAAUUUGUUCAAGUAACAAAAUGGAUUUCAUGUUUUUUUUUUUUAAAUGUAAAUCGUUAUAUGUACAAAAUGAAGUAAAUGACUAUAUAGAAUGGCUCACCUGCUUCUCAUGCCCUACAUAUGUACAAAAUGAACUUCAGCUUUGGAAUGAAAUUUACCCCACCCCAAGGAGAGUGAAACGAAAACAGAUCUGAGAGUUUUGUCUCCUCCCCUUUCUCUCUUGCCCAGAUCUAGAUCUAUCUGGGUCUCGAUCGAAGGCUGAGAGUUGGGGGUGGAUCUUACAUCUCCUUCUUCUAGCUUCCUUAGUAAUCUUCUCACCCUUUUGUAGUAUUAUUUUACCCGUUUUGUGGUGAUUUUCUGGUUGAUGUCUAGAUCGGGAGGAUUUUGUUCCUCAAAUUGUCUUUUCAGUUUUUCUCAUUGUCAUCCAAUCUCAUAUGCUUCAAGAUCUAAGAUUACUCAACCCCUCAAUAGAUCAACUCUCUCUACUCAUUACCUCUAAGAAGAUGUCUAUGGUUGCAAGUAUAAAGUGCAAGUCACUUACCCACGCGAUUAUGGGUGCUCACGCAUGGGUUUUACACCCCCCCAUUCUCCAUCGGAUUUGGCUGGCAACGGAACAUCAACUUGCUCAUCCAUGCAUGUCGUUCUGCCUCCGGUGGUUGAUCAAUGGCUUUAUAGAUCGGUAGCGACUGCGACGGCGACGGCGACGGCGACGGAAGAGGCAGCAGCUAGGGUUUGCUUGGGUGGCCGCUGGUUUAGCUUUGAUGUGUUUUGUGUAAUUUUAUUUUUAUCUUUAGGGUUACCAUUUUUACCUUUUCAUGUGGAUUGGGUUGAGUGGUAACUUCCCUAAUGUUUAUCUGUACUUGGGCCUUAUUUGGGCUCUUCCAUUGGACUUUCCCCUUUGGUAAUCAUUAAUAAAACUUUUCAUUAAUUCC